rnacentral:rRNA from 1 species
AUUGAACGCUGGCGGCAUGCCUUACACAUGCAAGUCGAACGGUAACAGGUCUUCGGAUGCUGACGAGUGGCGAACGGGUGAGUAAUACAUCGGAACGUGCCCGAUCGUGGGGGAUAACGGAGCGAAAGCUUUGCUAAUACCGCAUACGAUCUACGGAUGAAAGCAGGGGACCGCAAGGCCUUGCGCGGACGGAGCGGCCGAUGGCAGAUUAGGUAGUUGGUGGGAUAAAAGCUUACCAAGCCGACGAUCGGUAGCUGGUCUGAGAGGACGACCAGCCACACUGGGACUGGGACACGGGCCAGGCUCCGACGGGAGGCAGCAGUGGUGAAUUUUGGACAAUGGGCGAAAGCCUGAUCCAGCCAUGCCGCGUGCGGGAUGAAGGCCUUCGGGUUGUAAACUGCUUUUGUACGGAACGAAAAGACUCUUUCUAAUAAAGAGAGUCCAUGACGGUACCGUAAGAAUAAGCACCGGCUAACUACGUGCCAGCCGCCGCAGUAACAC